GUAGAUAUAGUUUAACAUAAAAUAUUAGACUGUGGCUCUAAAGACGGGGGUUAAAAUCCCCCUAUUUACC
rnacentral:tRNA from 1 species